rnacentral:lncRNA from 1 species
CCGUUUUCCCGAGAAAAAAUUCUGCCCGGUUUUCAUCUCGCCUUUCUUCGAUCUUUCAAGUGAGUUCAUACCCCUUAAUUAACCCUUUUAAAUAUUCUAAAUGCUUUUAUACGCUUUCAGGGGGGGGGGAAUACAAGUAAAACACACGAUUUAUUAUCGGGUGUUAUAUAGAAAGUUUUAUUAUACACUUUAAUUUAAAUAGAAUCAUAUGUGAUUUAUAAACUUUAUAGGGAACUAUCGUAUAUAAAAUAUAUUACAAUGGCAUUCUAUCUUUUGAAAUAUAAAUUGUUGUCAUGCAUGUAUAAACUAAACAUUUUGCUUAGAUUAUAUGUAUACGUGUCUAUCUUAGGCACUAUAAAAAUCUAUACUUUCAUAUCAAGUGAUUCAUUUUCUAGGGAUUUCUAAACAAAUGAGACACACUUUUAGAAAGCUAUAAUAGGUAUAGUUUUAUGAGAAUAUUGCUAACUUUUACAUACUAGAAACAAAAUUUUCAAGAAGUCACUUUCAUAUACACGAACAAACGAACAUUUUAACACGUAAAUCUGUUUUUAUACUAAGAUUUGUGAGACAUUAACUUCACGUAUGUUCGAGUACACAUUUCAAGUCCUGUAUUAUAUACCAGAAUCCCUUGGAGGGGGAUCAUGGCGUUUGUGUAUAUAUCUAUACGGGUUUGACAACCCGCGCCUUGACUGUUAGCUACAGUCCACCAUUUGGGGUGACAAACGUCAUAACAUUCCAACGCCUGAAGAACGUUGUGUAUAGGCAUUCCGAGUCAAUAGUAUGGUUAUAAAACUCACAUGAGGUAUUAAAAAUACAUUGAUUUACGAGGUUUUCAAACAUAUUGGUUAUUUUACACUUACAUACAUUUUCUGAAACAAACAUUGGUCUUGAGAGAAGGCUACUUUUAUACUAGUAGAAAAUAUAGGAUUUUCUAGAAACAAACAAACAAGGACAAAACAUUUCAUUUCAUACAAACAUUGUCAUUUAAUACUUAUGAAACUCACCAGCUUAAAUGUUGAUCUACUCUUUCAAAACUACUUGUAUGUCCCAGGGAUUCAGUAAUUACAGGUAUCAAAACAGCUUUUGAAGAAGGGACGCUGCGUCGUCAGUUUAAAUUCAUAUUUUGGCAUCAUAUUGUAAUUGGUUUUGAACAUGUAUUUUUAACAAUGUAAACUUUCAAUUAUAUAUAUGAUGGUUGUAUUGCUUUCUUUACUAUGUAUUCAUUUGUUAUGCUACCACAUGAAGUCAUCCGCCCCCGAACGUUUCCGUCGUUCCGGUUUGGGGGUGUGACAGAUUGGUAUCAGAGCAGUGUAUAUAGUGAACUAAGUAUAUCGAACCACAUAAUAUAUACAAACUAUAAAUGAUUAAGGGACUAAUACUCUCUGAUAAAACAUUUUUGUUUUACGCCUAAGUCGCGUUUCGUUUAACUUUUAAUGUUAAUUCAUUCAAAUACAAAUACAUGCAUACAACAAACAUGUUUUCAUAAUUAUAACUAUAGAAGAAGUAUUUAGACAUGUUGGACACUACGGUUAAGACUCGAUAUAUGUAAUCGGAUUUGGGACAAAUAUAGCAUGAUCAACUAUAUUUGUCCGAGAUCGGACCAAUAUAUAUCGAGGAUUGCUCGUAGUAAGCAACAAGUCAAAACUUACCAAAACAUCACGGGAAUCAAACACACGAAUUUAAAUACUAUAGGAGUAUUUAUUACUUAUGAUAUCUUAACAUACCUGUUUAGUCUUAAAUGUUCUAAACAUUAUUCGAUUCUUAUAACCCUAUUCUCGUACAGUCAAAUGGCUGGAUUUCACCACCCCGGCGACACCUAUUAUCCCAACCAAGGAAACGGAGGAUGGAUCGAAGAGGAUCCCGAAGAGGAAGAAGAACCCAUAGAAUUGGAUGAUGACUCCGGUACCGACUCAGAGCCGGAAGUGAUCAAUCCACCUCCCGCACAACCUCCCGUCUUCGUCAGGAACUUUCAAGGACCGACUCCCGUCUGGGGAAGUCACCUCCACCAUUGGAGCCAACAACAAAACCUACGCCCUCCCUACGGCAUGUGCCGAGACUUCUACGAUGUCCGCGGCGGAGGUUCAGCUGAUCGGGCACUACCAGUAAUGGUGGGCAAGCUAGCCAAUCAGUCCUACCAAUCCGGAGUUCAAGCUAGCCGGAUUCGGGAUGUCAACGUAGAAGUACAGGUUCACACUUCUGACAUCCGUAGGCUGGACAGAAUUCAGGACAAUGCCCAACUCCAAACCGAGGCAUUCCAAGCACAAAUGAUUGCAGCCCUAGCCGAAUUGAGGGAACAACAAGCCGCUUUUGAUAGGCGUCUAAUGGAAUCGAAGCAAUCGGAUGCGGAGUCAAGCUCCAAGCGCAACCUACGUCGCAAGUAGUGCUUGCCAAAAUCUCAAAUUUUGUUAUAAGUUAGGACCUCGGCUAAAAGUUUUUAAAUUUCUUAAACUUUGUAACUGGAGACCCUUAUAGGGGUCAAAUUUCCGUGAUCAUUGUAUCAACUAUUAUAUUAAUAUAAGUGGAACUAUUAUUACUACGUGGAGUGUUUCAUUCAAUCCUUAAAAUGUUAUGGAAAAACCAAAUGCUUGUUUCAUAUUUUCAGUCUUACAAAUAACUUUCAUUCUUCUAUUUUGGGACUUGUACUAUCAUCUGUCGUGGGCUAUAGAAAUUUAGUUCAUGAGACACAUUCAGUUUCUAUACUAAGGAAUUCUUAUCUCUAUCUUUUCAACCUAUAGUUGAAGGAUGCCUCCGCAUAGGAACCCAAGGCGAAACAACGGUGGGGAAGCACCUAUACCACCACCUCCACCUCCUCAAUUUGAUNUGUCAUGUUCCAAGCAGCAGUCACCGCAGCGGUAGCAGCUGCCAUGUCACAGAUCAAUAACUCGAGUACUACUGGCUCAGGAACUGGCACACACUUAUCCAACCAUGGCGAGAGUCAUGGGCAACCCCGAGAAUGCACCUAUAAGGACUUUACUAAUGCCAAACCCCGGAUGUUUUAUGGAACUAGUCAUGUGAUGGCUUUGAGGCAGUGGAUCGAAAGGACAGAAUCAGUCUUAGAAAUCUGCUCCUGUCCCGAGCACAGCAAAGUCAAGUUUGCAACUUUCACCCUUAUUGAUAGAGCUUUAACUUGGUGGAAUGGCCACGUUAAGGUACUUACCCUAAUAGUGGCAAACUCCAUAAGCUGGGAGAGCUUAAAAAUCAUGCUGAUGAGAGAAUACUGUCCACGAGGAGAGAUUCAAAAACUCGAGCACGAACUCUGGACUCUUGGAAUGAUUGGUACCGACAUAGCAACUUAUACCAACAGAUUCUGCGAUCUGGCAAUCCUUUGCCCAGAUAUGAUUGCUCCUGAGAGCAAGAAAAUAGAGAGAUACAUUUGGGGACUGUCGCCCCAAAUUCGAUCAAGCGUGUUAGCUUCAAAACCUGACACUUUUGAAAGUGCCAAGGAACUGGCACAAUCUCUUGUUGAUUAUGGAGGUCAUCAGAACUCAACGGUUGCUACACCAGAACCACAAAAGGGAAACAACAACAACAACAACAACAGGAAGAGAGUAUGGAAUAAAGGGAAGGGUGGGCCUUCCCAAGAAUCUGCGAAGAAACAACUGGUUUCAGUGAAUGCUGCCACUGUACCUACUACCAUUCCUACAAAUCCCUACCCAACAAAGACUUAUGGGGGUAACCUUCCAAAGUGCACCAAAUGCACUUACCACCAUCAUGGACCUUGUCGGGAAAUGCAGUGCUCCAACUGCAACAGAAAGGGACACACUGUUCGUUUCUGCAAGGAUCCUGCUAAGCUGAUCACUCAAGUUCCCAGCGCGGGUGCAGGCCAAACUUGCUACGGUUGUAGCGAGGUGGGCCGCGACAAGAGAAACUGUCCAAAGGCAGCAAAUACCNAAAUACCGGCGAGGUGGGACAAGUUUUGGCUAUAGGCCACGAUGAAGCGGUAGCUGAUCCGACUAUAGUUGUUGGUACGUUCCUUCUCGAUAAUUCAUAUGCAUGAAUAUUAUUUGAUAGUGGAGCGGAGAGAAGCUUCGUGAGUCAAAACUUUAUUCACUUACUUAAACAUAAACCUAGCAAGUUAGAAAAUCAUUCACUGUAGAGAUGGCAAAUGGAAAAACGGAAAACACUAACUGCAUAUACAUAGACUGUACGUUAACUUUAGAUGGUCAUUCUUUCCCAAUCAACCUCAUGCCGGUCCAAAUUAAAAGUUUCGACGUCAUAGUCGGCAUGGAUUGGUUAUGUCUUUUUCGCGCCAACAUCCUGUGCUUUGAAAAAGCAGUUCGUCUUAGUCUUCCUAAUGACGAAACAUUAGUGAUUUACGGCGACAAAUCAAGUACAAACCUUCGCAUCAUUUCGUGCAUCCAAGCUCGAAAGUGUUUGCGAAAGAAUUAUCAUGCAUUUCUUGCGCACAUCGUUGAUACGAGUCAUGAAUUAAGAGACAUCAAGAGCAUUCCCGAAGUACGCGACUUUCCCGAUAUCUUUCCAGAAGAACUACCGGGAUUACCACCACAACGCCAAGUCGAGUUUAGAAUCGACUUAGUUCUAGGGGCUGCCCCAGUAGCGAAAUCGCCUUAUCGCCUAGCACCAGCAGAGAUGCAAGAACUUUCCAGUCAGCUUAACGAACUCCUUCAAAAAGGAUUCAUAAGACCAAGUUUCUCACCUUGGGGAGCACCGGUCUUGUUCGUAAAGAAGAAAGACAGAUCGUUCCAUAUGUGCAUUGACUACAUAGAACUGAACAAACUUACUGUUAAAAACCGUUAUCCUCUACCCCGUAUUGACGACCUAUUUGAUCAACUUCAAGGAGCAAACUACUUCUCAAAGAUAGAUCUACAAUCCGGAUAUCACCAAUUACGAGUACUAGAGGGGGAUAUUCCCAAGACAACUUUCCGAACUCGUUAUGGACACUACGAAUUUGUAGUGAUGCCGUUCGGAUUAACCAAUGCACCAGCAGUAUUUAUGGACCUAAUGAAUAGGGUGUGCCGUCCUUACUUAGAUUAGUUCGUCAUCGUCUUCAUCGAUGAUAUACUUAUCUACUCUCGAAGUAAGGAAGAGCAUAGUCAAUAGUAUGGUUAUACUUGGGGUGACAAACGUCAUAACAUGCCAACGCCUGAAGAACGUUGUGUAUAUGCAUUCCGAGUCAAUAGUAUGGUUAUAAAACUCAUAUGAGGUAUUAAAAAUACAUUGAUUUACGAGGUUUUCAAACAUAUUGGUUAUUUUAUACGUACAU